rnacentral:rRNA from 1 species
GGGGAACCUGCGGAGUGGAUCAUUA